CCGGCACGGGCGAGUAACACGUAUCCAACCUGCCGUCUACUCUUGGCCAGCCUUCUGAAGGAAGAUUAAUCCAGGAUGGCAUCAUGAGUUCACAUGUCCGCAUGAUUAAAGGUAUUUUCCGGUAGACGAUGGGGAUGCGUUCCAUUAGAUAGUAGGCGGGGUAACGGCCCACCUAGUCAACGAUGGAUAGGGGUUCUGAGAGGAAGGUCCCCCACAUUGGAACUGAGACACGGUCCAA
rnacentral:rRNA from 1 species